rnacentral:rRNA from 1 species
CCUACGGGUGGCAGCAGUGGGGAAUAUUGCACAAUGGGGGGAACCCUGAUGCAGCGACGCCGCGUGGGUGAAGGAGUAUUUCGGUAUGUAAAGCCCUAUCAGCAGGGAAGAACAAUGACGGUACCUGACUAAGAAGCACCGGCUAACUACGUGCCAGCAGCCGCGGUAAUACGUAGGGGGCAAGCGUUAUCCGGAUUUACUGGGUGUAAAGGGGGCGCAGACGGCAGCGAAAGCCAGGAGUGAAAGCCCGGGGCCCAACCCCGGGACUGCUCUUGGAACUGCGCGGCUGGAGUGCAGGAGGGGCAGGCGGAAUUGCUGGUGUAGCGGUGAAAUGCGUAGAGAUCAGGAGGAACACCAGUGGCGAAGGCGGCUUACUGGACUGUAACUGACGUUGAGGCUCGAAAGCGUGGGGAGCAAACAGGAUUAGAUACCCUGGUAGUC